rnacentral:rRNA from 1 species
UACGUAGGUGGCAAGCGUUAUCCGGAUUUACUGGGUGUAAAGGGCGUGUAGGCGGUUUUGCAAGUCAGAUGUGAAAUCUCCGGGCUUAACCCGGAAACUGCAUCUGAAACUGCAGAACUUGAGUACUGGAGAGGAUAGUGGAAUUCCUAGUGUAGCGGUAAAAUGCAUAGAUAUUAGGAGGAACACCAGUGGCGAAGGCGACUAUCUGGACAGUAACUGACGCUGAGGCGCGAAAGCGUGGGGAGGCAAACAGGAUUAGAUACCCU